GGGAAUGCAACGGUUUCGACGGGGAGAAAGAUGGUUAGAACUGCAUAUAGUGUUGCUUGCUAUCACUUUAAAAAAGCAGAAAAAAUUAAACAACAACAACGUAGAAAAUAACUACGCAAUGGCUGCUUAAUAAAAUAAGCAACCUCGCUUGAUCUGUCCUCGCUUAUCGGGGUAGUAAAAGCGUCAUUUCAGAUAAGAUAGUCAUUAAGAUCGUCUGAGUUUUGAUGAUGAAACUAAAUCAGAAUAGCAUUUAUUAAGGCUUGUCUGCCUGCCUGCUGAAUGUGAAGUUUAAAAAUGCAGACUAAAUAUGUAGAAGUUUUAAUGGUCUUCUUUCCGGACCCGAGUUCGACUCUCGGCAUUUCCACAA
rnacentral:tmRNA from 1 species